rnacentral:rRNA from 1 species
GUUUGAUCCUGGCUCAGAUUGAACGCUGGCGGCAUGCCUUACACAUGCAAGUCGAACGGUAACGCGGGGCAACCUGGCGACGAGUGGCGAACGGGUGAGUAAUAUAUCGGAACGUGCCCAGUAGUGGGGGAUAGCCCGGCGAAAGCCGGAUUAAUACCGCAUGAGACCUGAGGGUGAAAGCGGGGGAUCGCAAGACCUCGCGCUAUUGGAGCGGCCGAUAUCAGAUUAGGUAGUUGGUGGGGUAAAGGCCUACCAAGCCGACGAUCUGUAGCUGGUCUGAGAGGACGACCAGCCACACUGGGACUGAGACACGGCCCAGACUCCUACGGGAGGCAGCAGUGGGGAAUUUUGGACAAUGGGCGCAAGCCUGAUCCAGCCAUGCCGCGUGCGGGAAGAAGGCCUCGGUGUAACGACUUGUC